rnacentral:rRNA from 1 species
GCCAGGACGUUGGCUUAGAAGCAGCCAUCGUUUAAAGAAAGCGUAAUAGCUCACUGGUCGAGUGGCUCUGCGCCGAAAAUGUAACGGGGCUAAGCAUGGUACCGAAGCUUUGGCAAUCCCCUUUGGGGAUUGGGUAGGGGAGCGUUCGCUGCGGGCUGAAGGUGUGCCGGAAGGCAUGCUGGACUGCAGUGAAGUGAUUAUGCUGACAUGAGUAACGAUAAAAUAUGUGAAAAACAUAUUCGCCGAAAACCCGAGGUUUCCUGGGUAAAGGUAAUCUUCCCAGGGUUAGUCGGAUCCUAAGGUGAGGGUGAAAGCCGUAACCGAUGGAAAACAGGUUAAUAUUCCUGUACUUGUUGUGUAGCGCGAUGGAGGGACGCAGGAAGAUAGGCGGGCCGGGUGUUGGAUAUCCCGGUGCAAGCGUGUAGGAAUAUCCGGUAGGCAAAUCCGCCGGACGAAUCUGAGACGCGAGUCCGUGGGCGCAAGCCCUGAAGCCGUUGAGUCUAUGCUGCCUAGAAAAGCUCCUAAGUUUAUCCACAGCAAUCCGUACCGCAAACCAACUCAGGUGGGUGGGAUGAACAAUCCAAGGCGCUCGAGAGAACUCUGGCCAAGGAACUCGGCAAAAUAACCCCGUAACUUCGGAAGAAGGGGUGCUCUCUAGGGUGACAUGUUUAACAUAUGAAGCCCCGGGGAGCCGCAGUGAAUUGGUGGUGGCGACUGUUUACUAAAAACAUAGGUCUGUGCGAAGUCCUAAAGACGACGUAUACGGACUGACGCCUGCCCGGUGCUGGAAGGUUAAAAGGAGGGGUCAGCGCAAGCAAAGCUCCGAAUUGAAGCCCCAGUAAACGGCGGCCGUAACUAUAACGGUCCUAAGGUAGCGAAAUUCCUUGUCGGGUAAGUUCCGACCUGCACGAAUGGCGUAACGAUCUCCACACUGUCUCGGCCAGAGACUCGGUGAAAUUGCAGUCGCGGUGAAAAUUCCGUGUACCCGCAGAAAGACGGAAAGACCCUGUGCACCUUUACUAUAGCUUGACAUUGGAUUUUGGGCCUGCAUGUGUAGGAUAGGUGGGAGGCUGUGAACCCUGUACGCCAGUAUGGGGGGAGCCAUCCUUGAAAUACCACCCUUGCAUGUUUAAGAUCCUAACUUCUUCCGGUUAUCCCGGAGAAAGACAGUGUCUGGCGGGUAGUUUGACUGGGGCGGUCGCCUCCUAAAGUGUAACGGAGGCAUGCAAAGGUUCCCUCAGCCUGAUCGGAAACCAGGCGCUGAGUGCAAACGCAUAAGGGAGCUUGACUGUAAGAGAGACAUCUCGAACAGGAACGAAAGUUGGCGUUAGUGAUCCGGUGGUCCCGAAUGGAAGGGCCAUCGCUCAUUGGAUAAAAGGUACGCCGGGGAUAACAGGCUGAUCGCAUCCAAGAGUUCACAUCGACGAUGCGGUUUGGCACCUCGAUGUCGGCUCAUCACAUCCUGGGGCUGAAGCAGGUCCCAAGGGUACGGCUGUUCGCCGUUUAAAGUGGUACGCGAGCUGGGUUUAAAACGUCGUGAGACAGUUUGGUCCCUAUCUUCUGUGGGCGAAGGAGAAUUGAGAGGGCCUGUCCCUAGUACGAGAGGACCGGGAUGGACGCACCCCUGGUGAUCCUGUUGUCGCGCCAGCGGCAUAGCAGGGUAGCUAUGUGCGGAAGGGAUAACCGCUGAAAGCAUCUAAGCGGGAAGCCUGCCUCAAGAUAAGUUCUCCCCUCGAAAGAGCUGAAGGGCCCGGGUAGACUACCCGGUCGAUAGGCUGGAGGUGUAAGCGCGGCGACGUGCUCAGCUGACCAGUACUAAUAGCCCGAGCGGCUUAUUU